AGUUUGAUCCUGGCUCAGAACGAACGCUGGCGGCGUGGAUAAGACAUGCAAGUCGAACGAGAGAAUUGCUAGCUUGCUAAUAAUUCUCUAGUGGCGCACGGGUGAGUAACACGUGAGUAACCUGCCCCCAAAAAGUUGGGUACCCCCGGGAGAAACUUGUGUAUUAUACCCCGCAUAAAAAUUCCCAAAGAUUAAACCCACCAAAUGCGGGUGUGGGAAUGGCCCUCGCGCUCUUUAUUAGGUGGGUGUGGGAGGGAGAACCCCCUCCACCAAGGGGGAAUGCGGGGUUCCCUUGUUUGAGAAAGAUUCUCCGGCCCCCACAGGGAAAAUGGAGCCGCGGUCCAAGACACCUGGGGGGUGGCCCGCAGUGGAGAAUUCUCUCCACAGUGGGGGAACCCCUGGAUGGUGCGACCCCCGCGGGGGAGAAUAGAAGGUUCUUGGGAUUUAAAACCCCCUUGUCAUGUGGGGGCAAAUUAAAAAGGAUUGUCCCACAAGGAGGAAGAGACGGCUAACUUUUGUGCCAGCAGCCGCGGUAAUACAGAGGUCUCAAGCGUUGUUCGGAAUCACUGGGCGUAAAGCGUGCGUAGGCGGUUUCGUAAGUCGUGUGUGAAAGGCGGGGGCUCAACCCCCCGGACUGCACAUGAUACUGCGAGACUAGAGUAAUGGAGGGGGAACCGGAAUUCUCGGUGUAGCAGUGAAAUGCGUAGAUAUCGAGAGGAACACUCGUGGCGAAGGCGGGUUCCUGGACAUUAACUGACGCUGAGGCACGAAGGCCAGGGGAGCGAAAGGGAUUAGAUACCCCUGUAGUCCUGGCAGUAAACGGUGCACGCUUGGUGUGCGGGGAAUCGACCCCCUGCGUGCCGGAGCUAACGCGUUAAGCGUGCCGCCUGGGGAGUACGGUCGCAAGAUUAAAACUCAAAGAAAUUGACGGGGACCCGCACAAGCGGUGGAGUAUGUGGCUUAAUUCGAUGCAACGCGAAGAACCUUACCUGGGCUUGACAUGUAAUGAACAACAUGUGAAAGCAUGCGACUCUUCGGAGGCGUUACACAGGUGCUGCAUGGCCGUCGUCAGCUCGUGUCGUGAGAUGUUUGGUUAAGUCCAGCAACGAGCGCAACCCCUGUUGCCAGUUACCAGCACGUAAAGGUGGGGACUCUGGCGAGACUGCCCAGAUCAACUGGGAGGAAGGUGGGGACGACGUCAGGUCAGUAUGGCCCUUAUGCCCAGGGCUGCACACGUACUACAAUGCCCAGUACAGAGGGGGCCGAAGCCGCGAGGCGGAGGAAAUCCUAAAAACUGGGCCCAGUUCGGACUGUAGGCUGCAACCCGCCUACACGAAGCCGGAAUCGCUAGUAAUGGCGCAUCAGCUACGGCGCCGUGAAUACGUUCCCGGGUCUUGCACACACCGCCCGUC
rnacentral:rRNA from 1 species